GGAAUGGGUAUCUUAGGGGUGAAACAUAAUAUUUUCAACUAUCUGGCCUGAAUUACUCUGUUAAUUAUAGAAAUGAUAUAUCUGAAGUAGGAGUGUAGAAUGAUAUUGAGUAUUAUUGCCCAGAAGUCAUGUUUAAUCAAAUGCUCAGGUUUAAUUCUGCAAUGUCGAAUCCCAAGAUAUCUCUCUGUGCUUCACAUCUAAUUUUUUCCUUCAUAUCUUCUCUUUUCUCUGAGACACACUUCUUUUGCAGAUGUGAGAGUAACUAGCCCAGACGUUGUUUUCUCACAGCAAACUUGAUCCUUUGCGAGUGAUCUGUAAAAGAGGAACUUUCUGGUUUAUUUUAUUUUAUUUAGCUUUAGUUCUUUGGAAAUAUGGAAACAUUCUUUCCUCCUCUCCAUCAUUUCCAUCUUUUAUGCAAGUAGGAAUGAGUGUUUGGAUUACAAUAUAAAAUGGCAGAUAAAUAUGCUAUUAUCCAAAGAUUUGCAUAAUUAGUUUAAGUAUAAUACAUUCAUUUUUUGAAAAUGUCCAUACUUAUUCUAAGUGCAUAAUGCUGCCAGGAUAUUUUUCCCCUCCUCUCUGGAGUUGAAGCUCUGCUUUGCAUCUCAUCUCAGACACAUAAUUAGGUAUAGCAGGUAUAUUUUAGUGGUCUCACAGCCUACAUCACCAAAUCUUCUUUAAACAUCAUUUUAGCAAAGUAAACCCAGGAAAUUCUGUUCACCUUACUUAAAUGCUUGUAACUUUAGUAUUUUUACAAUUCUUUCAGGCUCAGCACAGAUGGGAUUUUUCAAAUGAAAACCAGAUGAAAGUAAACAGCAAUCUCCCCAUCACAACCCAAAGUACAGAAACAUUGAUCUGGAGGUCUGCUGAAAGCAGCAGGUAAUUGGAUGAAAUUUAAAAAGCAAGAGGACCAGGUAAGAAGACAGAGUAUCAGAAUUAAAUUCUUUUUCAUCUUUAUUAUAACAAGUUUCUUUUUCUGGAAUAUGACUCCAGGAUAUGUCUGAAGUAGUCACUGGAUAGAAGUAUAUUGAGAAAGUCUAUAUAGGUGGCAUCAGAGAUUUCUAAUAUCUAUCUAUCUAUUUAUCUAUCUAUCUAUCAUAACUUUAAAGUAUAUUGUAUUUUUGAGGCCAUAUCUGAAAAUCAGAACACAGACGAAGAAUUUCAGGGACAAGCAGAGGACUUAGGCAGGCUUUCAGAGGUUUGAUUCUGGUAAUUAUGGGUUUAUAGAGGCUAACCAAAGAUGAAAGGCAACGGGAGGGCAGAGACAGGGCUGUGGGAAAAAAAUGAGCCCAAGAAUAGAAUGAACAUACGACAAGUUUGUUUAUGAUAAGGAGAAGCUUAGAUUUGUUCUGCACUGUGUGUGUUUUGGAAUGCAUUAUCUCAUUUACAUGGACAAUGGCUAUUUGGAGCCUAUAUCACCCUGAUAUUCAACAAAAGCACUUUGAGGCUUAGAAGUAAAGUAACUUCCACCUGCGCCGCGGCUCAAUAAGGCUCAUCCUCCACCUGCGGUGCCGGCAUACUGGGUUCUAGUCCCGGUUGGGGCGCUGGAUUCUGUUCUGGUUGCCCCUCUUCCAGUCCAGCUCGCUGCU
ensembl:lncRNA